UACGUAGGUGGCAAGCGUUGUCCGGAAUUAUUGGGCGUAAAGCGCGCGCAGGCGGUCCUUUAAGUCUGAUGUGAAAGCCCACGGCUCAACCGUGGAGGGUCAUUGGAAACUGGGGGACUUGAGUGCAGAAGAGGAAAGCGGAAUUCCACGUGUAGCGGUGAAAUGCGUAGAUAUCUGGAGGAACACCGGUGGCGAAGGCGGCAUCCUGGACCAACACUGACGCUGAGUGAGCGAAAGCCAGGGGAGCAAACGGG
rnacentral:rRNA from 1 species